rnacentral:misc_RNA from 1 species
AAAAUGAAUUAAUACGUAAUUUGUAUAACACUCUUUUCGAAAUAAACAUGGUAUCAGAGCUCUGGGUUGUAAGUUUUAGCCGCCCAUAAGGCUUUAUAAAUUGGGCCUAUAUUGGCUUAAUACUUACCAACUAAUGGUCAAGUGACAACCAUAUGGUUGCACUUAAGGGGGAGUGUUGGGAAUAUAUAUCCCACAUUUGAAAUGAAUACAAAUGAAAGGAUGGAUAUAAGUGAUUGGGUUGCAACAUUGACUUAGUUAUUUUGACGUGUAAAAUAACUCAAUCACUUAU